rnacentral:rRNA from 1 species
GGGUUGUGAGGUUAAGCGACUAAGCGUACACGGUGGAUGCCCUGGCAGUCAGAGGCGAUGAAGGACGUGCUAAUCUGCGAAAAGCGUCGGUAAGGUGAUAUGAACCGUUACAGCCGGCGAUGUCCGAAUGGGGAAACCCAGUGUGAUUCGUCACACUAUCGUUAACUGAAUACAUAGGUUAACGAGGCGAACCGGGGGAACUGAAACAUCUAAGUACCCCGAGGAAAAGAAAUCAACCGAGAUUCCCCCAGUAGCGGCGAGCGAACGGGGAGCAGCCCAGAGUCUGAAUCAGCUUGUGUGUUAGUGGAACGGUCUGGAAAGUCCGACGGUACAGGGUGAUAGUCCCGUACACCAAAAUGCACAGGUUGUGAACUCGAAGAGUAGGGCGGGACACGUGGUAUCCUGUCUGAAUAUGGGGGGACCAUCCUCCAAGGCUAAAUACUCCUGACUGACCGAUAGUGAACCAGUACCGUGAGGGAAAGGCGAAAAGAACCCCGGCGAGGGGAGUGAAAAAGAACCUGAAACCGUGUACGUACAAGCAGUGGGAGCACCUUUAUGGUGUGACUGCGUACCUUUUGUAUAAUGGGUCAGCGACUUAUAUUCUGUAGCAAGGUUAACCGUAUAGGGGAGCCGCAGGGAAACCGAGUCUUAACUGGGCGUUAAGUUGCAGGGUAUAGACCCGAAACCCGGUGAUCUAGCCAUGGGCAGGUUGAAGGUUGGGUAACACUAACUGGAGGACCGAACCGACUAAUGUUGAAAAAUUAGCGGAUGACUUGUGGCUGGGGGUGAAAGGCCAAUCAAACCGGGAGAUAGCUGGUUCUCCCCGAAAGCUAUUUAGGUAGCGCCUCGUGAAUUCAUCUUCGGGGGUAGAGCACUGUUUCGGCUAGGGGGUCAUCCCGACUUACCAACCCGAUGCAAACUACGAAUACCGAAGAAUGUUAUCACGGGAGACACACGGCGGGUGCUAACGUCCGUCGUGAAGAGGGAAACAACCCAGACCGCCAGCUAAGGUCCCAAAGUCAUGGUUAAGUGGGAAACGAUGUGGGAAGGCACAGACAGCCAGGAUGUUGGCUUAGAAGCAGCCAUCAUUUAAAGAAAGCGUAAUAGCUCACUGGUCGAGUCGGCCUGCGCGGAAGAUGUAACGGGGCUAAACCAUGCACCGAAGCUGCGGCAGCGACACUAUGUGUUGUUGGGUAGGGGAGCGUUCUGUAAGCCUGCGAAGGUGGCCUGUGAGGGCUGCUGGAGGUAUCAGAAGUGCGAAUGCUGACAUAAGUAACGAUAAAGCGGGUGAAAAGCCCGCUCGCCGGAAGACCAAGGGUUCCUGUCCAACGUUAAUCGGGGCAGGGUGAGUCGACCCCUAAGGCGAGGCCGAAAGGCGUAGUCGAUGGGAAACAGGUUAAUAUUCCUGUACUUGGUGUUACUGCGAAGGGGGGACGGAGAAGGCUAUGUUAGCCGGGCGACGGUUGUCCCGGUUUAAGCAUGUAGGCGGAGGUUCCAGGUAAAUCCGGUACCUUUUAACGCUGAGGUGUGAUGACGAGGCACUACGGUGCUGAAGUAACAAAUGCCCUGCUUCCAGGAAAAGCCUCUAAGCAUCAGGUAACAUUGAAUCGUACCCCAAACCGACACAGGUGGUCAGGUAGAGAAUACCAAGGCGCUUGAGAGAACUCGGGUGAAGGAACUAGGCAAAAUGGUGCCGUAACUUCGGGAGAAGGCACGCUGGUGUGUAGGUGAAGUCCCUGCGGAUGGAGCUGAGACCAGUCGAAGAUACCAGCUGGCUGCAACUGUUUAUUAAAAACACAGCACUGUGCAAACACGAAAGUGGACGUAUACGGUGUGACGCCUGCCCGGUGCCGGAAGGUUAAUUGAUGGGGUUAUCCGUAAGGAGAAGCUCUUGAUCGAAGCCCCGGUAAACGGCGGCCGUAACUAUAACGGUCCUAAGGUAGCGAAAUUCCUUGUCGGGUAAGUUCCGACCUGCACGAAUGGCGUAAUGAUGGCCAGGCUGUCUCCACCCGAGACUCAGUGAAAUUGAACUCGCUGUGAAGAUGCAGUGUACCCGCGGCAAGACGGAAAGACCCCGUGAACCUUUACUAUAGCUUGACACUGAACAUUGAGCCUUGAUGUGUAGGAUAGGUGGGAGGCUUUGAAGCGUGGACGCCAGUCUGCGUGGAGCCAACCUUGAAAUACCACCCUUUAAUGUUUGAUGUUCUAACGUUGGCCCCUUAUCGGGGUUGCGGACAGUGUCUGGUGGGUAGUUUGACUGGGGCGGUCUCCUCCCAAAGAGUAACGGAGGAGCACGAAGGUUAGCUAAUCCUGGUCGGACAUCAGGAGGUUAGUGCAAUGGCAUAAGCUAGCUUGACUGCGAGCGUGACGGCGCGAGCAGGUGCGAAAGCAGGUCAUAGUGAUCCGGUGGUUCUGAAUGGAAGGGCCAUCGCUCAACGGAUAAAAGGUACUCCGGGGAUAACAGGCUGAUACCGCCCAAGAGUUCAUAUCGACGGCGGUGUUUGGCACCUCGAUGUCGGCUCAUCACAUCCUGGGGCUGAAGUAGGUCCCAAGGGUAUGGCUGUUCGCCAUUUAAAGUGGUACGCGAGCUGGGUUUAGAACGUCGUGAGACAGUUCGGUCCCUAUCUGCCGUGGGCGCUGGAGAAUUGAGGGGGGCUGCUCCUAGUACGAGAGGACCGGAGUGGACGCAUCACUGGUGUUCGGGUUGUCAUGCCAAUGGCACUGCCCGGUAGCUAAAUGCGGAAGAGAUAAGUGCUGAAAGCAUCUAAGCACGAAACUUGCCCCGAGAUGAGUUCUCCCUGAGACUUUAAGUCUCCUGAAGGAACGUUGAAGACGACGACGUUGAUAGGCCGGGUGUGUAAGCGCAGCGAUGCGUUGAGCUAACCGGUACUAAUGAACCGUGAGGCUUAACCUUACAACGCCGAAGCUGUU